AUUUAGGUUUUUUGCUUGACCAAGAAGCAACCUAUCCUUAAUGCAAAGCCAUUCACUUGAUCUAUGAUCAAGAUGAAUUAGAUUUGAAUCAAGGAAGGUUAAGCCUCCCAUAUGUCAAGGCUAACAACCAAUCUCUAACUCAUUGAUCAAAAAGAAAAAGAAGAAAAAGAAGAAUGAAUAAGAAUGUACAUGAAUUGAAAUUCAAAA
rnacentral:lncRNA from 1 species